rnacentral:misc_RNA from 1 species
AGCAAAGAAUAAAGGUAUUAAUUUAUCCCAAUAUUCAAUUUUUCAGAAUUGAGGUUGAAGUGCUGAAGAUAUAUCUGAAAUAUGAUGAGGCAAGCAACAUAGGAAUGUAAUAAGCUCUCUUUUUUUCUCCAUUUUCUAUUUAAUAAUUCAUAAGAACAGAAAGUAGGAUUUCUCCUUUACAAUUGGAGCCGAAGCCCACAAGCAGUAAUUCAACAAAUAUGUGAUGUCACAAAAUUCAUAUGUGAUGUCACAAAAUUCCCUUCUAUACAUUUAUACGUUUAUAAAGGCACCAACUAAGACAUUAUAAUGAUCACAAAAUGGAAUCAUAAUAAUACUGGAUACCAGACAACUACCAAAUAAGAAGUAGACUACAAAUGAUGAGUUGAACAGAGUCACUAAAUUGAAUACGCUUACUCUCAUGAACUACAUUAUGGAUAAUAUACAGCUCUUACACAACCACCAGCUAUGAAACGUUAAACAGCUUAUAUGACGAUCAAACUUACGAGGUAACCUUAUGAUGACUGCAACAAUUAAGAAGUAAGAAAACCAGAGAGAGAGAGAGAGAGA